AGGACGAACGCUGGCGGCGCGCUUAAUACAUGCAAGUCGAGCGAGAACCGGACCUUCGGGUCCGGGGAAAGCGGCGAACGGGUGAGUAACACGUGGGUAAUCUGCCCUCGGUACUGGGAUAGCCCGGGGAAACCCGGAUUAAUACCGGAUAGCCUUUCGAGCUCUCGGGCUCGUUAGAAAAUGGUGGCUUCGGCUUCCGACUGAGGAUGAGCCCGCGGCGGAUUAGCUUGUUGGUGAGGUAAUGGCUCACCAAGGCUCCGAUCCGUAGCUGGUCUGAGAGGACGAUCAGCCACACUGGGACUGAGACACGGCCCAGACUCCUACGGGAGGCAGCAGUGGGGAAUUUGGACAAUGGGGCAACCCUGAUCCAGCCAUGCCGCGUGCGGAAGAAGGCCUUCGGGUUGUAACCGCUUUGUCGAGGAAGAAACGCUCCAAGCUAAUACCUUGGGUAAUGACGGUACCUGAAGAAUAAGCACCGGACUAACUACGUACCAGCAGCCGC
rnacentral:rRNA from 1 species